rnacentral:rRNA from 1 species
AUUAGACUACCCGGUAGUCCCAGCCGUAAACUAUGCGCGUUAGGUGUAUCGGUGACCACGAGUUACCGAGGUGCCGAAGGGAACCGUGAAACGUGCCGCCUGGGAAGUACGGUCGCAAGGCUGAAACUUAAAGGAAUUGGCGGGGGAGCACCACAACAGGUGGAGCCUGCGGUUUAAUUGGACUCAACGCCGGGAAGCUCACCGGAUAGGACAGCAGAAUGAUUGCCGGGCUGAAGACCCUGCAUGACUAGCUG